AGGGCAGUAUCUUUUAGCGAAGAACUGCACCAUAAAAAAUGUGUCAGUGUUGUCAAUGUGAUCUGCCUUGAUCCGCUAAAGGACUGGGACAGAGGG
rfam:Anoxybacillus sp. B7M1, complete genome.